GUUCCAUACCGCGUGACGUCAGGCGGACGCCAUAAGGCUGUGGGAACGGCAGUGCUUGAUCGGCAGUUGUGGAGGUUGUGGUGUCGCCGUAGCUGUAGCUUUGUUUAUUGUUGUGUAUUCGUUGGUGGACGGAACAGGGAGCGCCUGCGGAGGAUGGCGAGUGCCUGCAGAGCAAGGGAGCACCUGCGGAUGAUGGGAGUACCUGCAGAGAAGAAGGAGGGUUUGCGGAGGACACAGUGCCGUCGGAGAAUACAGGUAGUGCGCCGGCGGAGGUUAGAGGUAGUGCGCUGUCAGAAGAUAGAGGUGGAGCAUCUGUGGAGGAUGGGAGCACUGUCAGAAGACAGAGGUAGUGCGCCGGUAGAGGUUAGAGGUAGUGCACCAUUGGAGGAUAAAGGUGGAGGGUUUGCGGAGGACGGGAACACCUGAGGAGAUGGGGAGUGCCUGCAGAGGACAGGAACGUCGUCAGAGGAUAGUGGUUGUGCGCUGGCAAAGGUUAGAGGUAGUGUGCUAGCAGAGGAAAGAGGUGCAACAGCUGCGGGGGAUGGGAGAGCCAUCAGAAGAUAGAGGUAGUGCGCCAGCAGAGGUUAGAUGUAGUGCGACAUUGGAAGAUAGAGGUGGAGUGUCUGUGGAGAAUGAAAGCACCUGCAGAGAACAGGGAGCGCCAGCAGAGGAUGGGAGCACCGUCAGAAGAUAGAGGUAGCACGCCGGUGGAGGUUAGAUGUAGUGUGCCAUCAGAGAAUAGAGGUGGAGUACCUGCAGAGGACAGGGAGCACCUGUGGGGAACAGGGAGCGCUUGCAGAGGACAGGAGCACCGUCAGAAUAUAGAGGUAGUGCGCCAGCAGAGGUUAGAGGUAGUGCACCAUUGGAGGACAGAGGUGGAUGGUCUGUGGAGGACAGGAGCACCUGAAGAAAACAGGGAGCACCUACGGGGGACGGGAGCUCAGUCAGAAGACAAAGGUAGCACCAGCAGAGAUUAGAGGUAACACACCAGCAGAGGAUAAGAGGUAGCACGCCGGCAAAGGUUAGAGGUAGUGCACUGUCAGACGAUAGAGGUGUAACGUAUGCGGAGAAAAAGAGGACCUGCGGAGAACAAGGAGUGCCAGCAGAUGAUGGGAGCACAAUCAGAAGAUAGAGGUAGCUUGCCGGCAGAGGUUAGAGGUAGUGCACUGUUGGAGGAUCAAAGUAGUGGGUCUGCGGAGAACAGGAGAACCUGCGGAGAACAGGGAGUGACUGCAGAGGACGGGAACACCGGCAGAAAACAGAAUUAGUGCACCGGCAGAGGUUAGAUG
rnacentral:lncRNA from 1 species